GCAUCGGUGGUUCAGUGGUAGAAUUCUCGCCUUCCAUGUAGGAGAUUAGGGUUUGACUCCCAGCCAACGCA
rnacentral:tRNA from 1 species